rnacentral:rRNA from 1 species
GUGAGUAACACGUGAGCAACCUACCUUACACAGGGGGAUAGCCGUUGGAAACGACGAUUAAUACCGCAUGAGACCACAGAAUCGCAUGAUAUAGGGGUCAAAGAUUUAUCGGUGUAAGAAGGGCUCGCGUCUGAUUAGCUAGUUGGAAGGGUAAAGGCCUACCAAGGCGACGAUCAGUAGCCGGUCUGAGAGGAUGAACGGCCACAUUGGAACUGAGACACGGUCCAAACUCCUACGGGAGGCAGCAGUGGGGAAUAUUGCACAAUGGGGGGAACCCUGAUGCAGCGACGCCGCGUGAGCGAAGAAGGUUUUCGAAUCGUAAAGCUCUGUCCUAUGAGAAGAUAAUGACGGUAUCAUAGGAGGAAGCCCCGGCUAAAUACGUGCCAGCAGCCGCGGUAAUACGUAUGGGGCGAGCGUUGUCCGGAAUUAUUGGGCGUAAAGGGUACGUAGGCGGUUUUUUAAGUCAGGUGUGAAAGCGUGAGGCUUAACCUCAUUAAGCACUUGAAACUGGAAGACUUGAGUGAAGGAGAGGAAAGUGGAAUUCCUAGUGUAGCGGUGAAUGCGUAGAUAUUAGGAGGAAUACCGGUGGCGAAGGCGACU